rnacentral:lncRNA from 1 species
AAGGGAGGAUGGACAAGCGGCAAUGUUGGAGGAGUACCUCCGGAAAAGACUCCCAAGAAAGAGAAAGAUGAGAGAAAAAUUCUCUCUAGAGAAACGACCACUACAAAUUUGAGUCCUUUUGCAGCUCACUCAUCAUCUCUUUUUUAUUUUAAUGCUUAGAUUAAGCUCGUUGUCAGAUAUUCAGAAACACAGGAAAUUUUGAAGAAUCUAUGUCCAUCGUGCAUGGGGACAUUUCAAUUCCUUAGAAACGAUAAAUUACAUAAUUCAAUCAGACAAGUAUGAUCAAUCGAUGUCAAAAUUCAUUACAAGGAUGAUGCAGGGUUAAAGUAUAUACCAUUUGCAAGUUGUUGUGUUUUGUUUUUCUGUCUAUUUGUUCUUGCAUGCAAAUGCAGGUUUCAACGACUUUAUCGGCUUCUCCUAAAGCUCUUCGCCUUACCGGUUGGAUCUAGGAGAGAGGAGCACUGCCUUUGAGUGGUCGUUCUUCUCUUAAAAGUUCUACGGGUGCUUCAAUUAGUCCUAAACUUAUCUUUGUUGUAAGAAGGGAUGUAUGUCUAAGCCUUGGUAUUGAGCAUCUCUAGGGUUCCUUACAGUGUCUGCUCCUAUAUUUUUUCUGCGGGAUCUUGCAAGUUCUUAUGUCUUAUCUCUCAUGUUUUAUUAUUAUUAUUUAAAAAAUCCAUUAAUGCAUUUUGCAACUCCUAAUUUAAGGGUUAAGGAAAGUGAAUAUUAAUUAAAAAUUAGUGG